rnacentral:rRNA from 1 species
AUACGUAGGGUGCGAGCGUUGUCCGGAAUUACUGGGCGUAAAGAGCUCGUAGGUGGUUUGUCGCGUCGUCUGUGAAAUUCCGGGGCUUAACUCCGGGCGUGCAGGCGAUACGGGCAUAACUUGAGUACUGUAGGGGAGACUGGAAUUCCUGGUGUAGCGGUGAGAUGCGCAGAUAUCAGGAGGAACACCGGUGGCGAAGGGGGGUCUCUGGGCAGUAACUGACGCUGAGGAGCGAAAGCAUGGGUAGCGAACAGGAUUAGAUACCCUGGUAGUCCAUGCCGUAAACGGUGGGCGCUAGGUGUAGGGGUCUUCCACGACUUCUGUGCCGUAGCUAACGCAUUAAGCGCCCCGCCUGGGGAGUACGGCCGCAAGGCUAAAACUCAAAGGAAUUGACGGGG